CACACCCUCACACGGCUCGCCAGAGCCGCCAGCACCCGGAGCUCCCGCAGGUCCCUGGGGGCCUGGGGGGGGGCUAAAGACCUGGAGACCCCCCGAGACCCGGAGAGCCCAAAAGAGUUCCAGGCCUCAAAAGACCUGGAGAUCCCUGGAAUCCUGGAGACCCCCAAAGACCUGGAAACCCCGAGGGGCCUGGAGCCCCACAAAGUCCUGGAGACCCCCAAAGACCCAGAGACCCCCAAAGACCUGGAUAGCCCCAAAGAAUUUCAGGCCUCAAGAGACCUGACAACCUCACUGGAGACCCCCAGAGUCCUUGAGAGCCCCAGAGUCCUGGAGACCUCCAGAGACCUGGAGAAUCCAAGACUAAUGGAGAACCCCAGACACCAGGAGACCCCAAGAUACAUUGAGACCCUGGGAGACAUGGAGACACCAAGAAUCCUUGAGACCCCCCAAAGACCUGGAGUCCCCAAAAGAUCUAGAGACCCCCAGAGACCUGGAGACCUGGAGAGACCUGGAUAUCCCCAAAUGCCUAGAGAGCCCCAAAGAUCUGGAGUCCCCCAAAGAUCUAGAGACCCCCAGAGACCUGGAGACCUGGAGAGUCCUGGAGAUCCCCAAAUACCUACGGAGCCCCAAAGACCUGGAGUCCCCCAAAGAUCUAGAGACCCCCAGAGACCUGGAGACCUUAAGAGUCCUGGACAUCUCCAAAUACCUAGAGAGCCCCAAAGAGCUCCAGGCCUCAAGAGACCUGGAGACUCCCAAAUACUCCAGGUCUCUCCAGAGACCUGGAGAAUCCAUGAAUCCAAGACUCAUGGAGACCCCCAGAGACCUGGAGACUCCACUAGAGACCCCCAGAGUCCUGGAGACCUUGGGAGACAUUGAGACCUCCAGAGACCUGGAGACCUGGGGGAGACCUUGAGACCCCCAGAGACCUGGAGACCUGGAGAGACCCUGAGACCUCCAGAGACCUUGAAACCCCAAAAGACCUUGAGAACUCUGGAGGCCUGGGUACCUCGUUAGACUUGACCGAGGCAAACAGUGGAAUGCAGCAGGAUGAGAAGAUGUGAUAAUAAUACUGCUGUACUACUACAGUUCUAAUAUCACCUACUACAGAACUACUGCAGUACUACUUUUACCUAUUGCAGUACUACUAUCAACUACUACAGUACUACUGCAGUAAUACUAUUACCUAAUGUAGUAGUGUGAAGUCUUGAUUCUAUAGUGAACCCUGAGGUCUUGUUCAUAUAGUGAACCCUGAAGUCUUGAUUCUUUAGUGAACCUUGAAGUCUUGUGUCUAUAGUGAACCCUGAAGUCUUCUUUCUAUAGUGAACCCUGAAGUCUUGUUUCUACAGUGAACCCUGAAGUCUUCUUUCUAUAGUGAACCCUGACGUCUUGUUUCUAUAGUGAACCCUGAAGUCUUGUUUCUAUAGUGAACCCUGAGGUAUUGUUUAUAUAGUGAACCCUGAGGUCUUGAUUCUAUAGUGAACCCUGAGGUCUUGAUUCUAUAGUGAACCCUGAGGUCUCAUAUCUAGCCCUACAAGUGGAUUCUGUUGAUAUUGAACCUUCAUGGUUGAAGGCACUCAUUGUAAGUCGCUACGGAAAAAAGCAACAGCAAAAUAAAUGAAAUAACAAAAUACCUUAACAUUCUUUGUGAUGUGUUAAAUACCUUAUUAUACUUUGUUACGUGUUAAAAUACCUUAUUAUACUUUAUAAUAGCCAUGAAGGUACUAUGGACUUCAUGCUGAACGACUUGUGUCGUUUAUUGACUUAUAUUGUAUGAUGUGGAAUUGUCAAUGAUAUAUAUAUAUAUAUAUUUGUUUUAUGUAGAUCCGUAACAUGGAAGUCAGUGUUAAAGUAUUAAAGGAUUUGGCCUCGAA
ensembl:lncRNA